UAUUGUCGGCCUAAUAACAGCCACGCGUUUUAUUAAAGGUGGAGGCUACAAGAACGUUCUAGUAAUUGGUGCAGAUGCUCUAUCACGGUUUGCGGAUUGGACAGAUAGAGGCACUUGUAUUCUCUUUGGUGACGCUGCUGGUGCUGUACUAGUCCAGGCUUGCAGUAGCGAUGAAGAUGCUUUGCUCGGGUUCGACUUGAACAGUGAUGGAUACGGCCAGAAGCACCUAA
rnacentral:misc_RNA from 1 species